AAUACGUCACAAUGAGGGGCCGAAGAACGGCUUGAAAAGAGCGCCUUCGGUGUGCACAUCCACCUAGCGUGCGCAGCGGUCCGCUGUGUGACAGAACACUGUCUGGAGGCGGAGUGAUCCGUUGGUCAGUACAGCGGUCUGGGAUCAGUGAAGAAGCUGAUUUCUGUUUUCACAGGAUGGACGACAGUGGGGACAGUGACUCCUAUCCUGCAGUCACUAGUAACAAUCGCAAGUAUUCUCGUGAAAGUAAGUGACUCCUUAUUCUAUGAGUAUU